ensembl:lncRNA
GUAAGUGUUCUUAGGGUAUUUGCAAUGUGGAGCAACCAUCACCACUGUCUGUCCCCCGCACUUCCGUGGCCCCACAAGGAAGCCGCAUCCGGCUCCCAGAAGGCACCACCCUCUGUCUUUGUGACCUGCGCUGUGGACCCCAUGCGGUGUUCGCCCUCGGCAGCAGCACCCCUGGGCCGCAGUGGCUGUAUGGACUCGGAGUGUGUGGUCCUGUCUUGCUGACCUUCCCCCUGUUCGGGGGAGCGGGUCGGGCUGUGUGUGGGGUGAUGCGGUGGCCGUGGCCCCCUAGUCCAGGUUGGGUCUCAGACCGCUGGCCCUGGGCGUGCAGGCAUCCUCUGGAAGCUUGGCGCUGGGCUCCACAAGAGGGCGCUGUCUGAAAGUCUUCCGUGCGCUGGGAGUGACGCAGCCGUUCAGGAGGGUUUGGGGCGCGUGCUCCUGUCUUCCCAAACAUCUAGAGCUCAAGGAGUGCAGAAAAUUCUGACCUCCCUACCCACCCGACCACCCAACCACCCAGCCACCCAGCACCCACCCACCUCCUCCCACUGUCCUCACCAUUUAGCGGGCAGGGACCAAGUAGCCCAGCCCUGUCCACGAUUCCUCUGUGAUCAUGGAAAGCCACAUGUGGUCACUGAGGGAAACUGAGGCUCAGGGAGGUUAAGGAACUUGCCCAGGGUCAUGGGGCUCACAUACAGCUGAGGCAGCAUUCGAACCCAGGCCUUGUGGUGCAGGGCCCAGGCUUUACAUGCGCCACGGUCUCAGGUCAGGUCAGGGUGGGUGAGGGACAUUCAGCGGCCAGCAGGGAAGGAGAAGGCUCCUUGUCCCCCUGGACUGGCCCCUGUGGUGUCCGAGCUCCUCAGCGCUUCCAGGCUGGGGCUGAGAGCCUGUUAUUGUGCUUUUGGCAUGGUGGGCACCAGCCUGGCCAUUGCAUAGGCAGCACACAGGGCACCAGGUCACCGGCCCGUGCCCCUCCUCAGGCUGAGAGGGACAGAAGGGCACAUCCGGGUGGGGAUCACCUGGCCGCAUUCUUCGUGCUUCCCCAGUCUCUGCUUCUAUAGGCUGAUCUGAUGGAGGAGGCCUUGACCCAGCCUCUGAGCCACACCCCAGGAGACUGGCUUCUCCUGGCCCCACCCAGCUGCCACCCAGCUGCUUCCUUGGGCAGCGAAGGGCCACUCCACCUUCUCUCUCCAUCCCAGGGGCGGAGGAUGUCAUCUGCAGUCUCGGCCCUCUGGAUCAAAACACGAUGCUUGCCCUUCCCAGGAUGGGGAACAGCGCCUGCACUGCUGCGGUGCUGUGUCCCCACCACACCUGUGGUGUCGCAUUUAUGACACAAGUGUUUCCCUCUCGCACCCCUGAGAAAGGUCACUGGCUUUUAGCCCCCAGUGAGUGUCUUUCCAUGUCAGAAGCAGACACUCAGCAGCCCCAGUGCAACCCAGAGCAGAGAGCCCUUCCUGCUCGGGUUCCCUGGGCCUCCUGAGCCGAGGGCCUGGCCCAGAGAUGCCUGGGCCCUGCCGGGCUGUCCUGGCACCAGUGCAAUUGUAGGAGCAGGUUUAUGUGUCGCUUGCGUCAAGGGCUCCUUCCUUGCAGGGAGGCCCAGCCCUAACUGGAGAGUGGAAGUUGGGGUCCUGCUCUCUUCCUGGGAGGUGAUCUCUGGCCUGGCUCUUGGGCGCAGCAGCUCCCUAGGGGCCCACCCGCCCGUGUCACUCACCAAGGUCCAGCGCUGUGGCAGUGGGGAGCUGCACCGUGAAUGGCCAUGAUGUCACUUGGGACCUGCCCAGUUGGCCAAAUCCCACCUGGUUGUGCUGCCCUCCACUGCCCUUGGCCUCUGUUUGCUGAACCCCUCUCAGCACCCGCUUUGGAGAGGAGGUGCUUGUUCCUCAGCUGCAAUUGCUGCCGAGUGGAGUGGGGUGCUGUCUCUUCUCAGUGUCCACAGGAGGAAGAGACGGCAGGGGGAGCUUGAUGGCCAUGUGCAUUGUCAGUGUGGCUGGAGCAGGCAGGAAAGUCUGGAGGGGUCCUGGAAGGGAUGAGGGGACCCCUUAGGGCACCCUGCCUCUGCUCUGCCCAGCUGGGCUGGCAGCUCCGGGCCAGUGGGGUGGGGAGGCUUCUGCUGGUUGCAUUGUGGCUAUCCUAGCCUGGCCCUGCCAGCCUGGGAGCCCUUGUGCAUGAGUGAUGGGAGCGGGCGUGUCCAUGCUGUGCUCCAUAGGGGUAUCGGACGCUGUGGCUGUCUGGGAAGUGGGCUGUUUGAGGCUACUUAUCCAUAAAUUGCCACCGGGUCAGGACUCUUGGUCGUAAAGAACAGGAAAGCUAAUUCAUGUUGACUUAAGCUAGGAGGGAAUUUGUUAAUUUACAUAAUGGAAAAGUCUAGGGCCCUGAUGGCUUCAGGGGCAGCUUGAGCCAGGGAUGCAGACAGUGUUGGCAGGACCCAGCUUCUCCUCACAUCAUGCCUCUGCGGCCCUCUAUACCACUGGCAGGCAGGUAGUUUUGAAAAAUAGCUGUGAGGAUCUCUGGGUUUGCACCAAAGUAGUGCCAAUUCAGUAGAAAAAAGAGACACUCUUUCCCAUUGUUUCCCACCACUAAGAAGGGAUCUGGAGUUGGCUGAUUGGCCUUGUUGGGGCCACCAGCACUGUGGCUGAGGGGAGGUGCUGCUCUCAGGCACCUUGCAGCCCUGCUGCUGUGGGACAGUCGUCCCGAGCUUAGUGACUUAGAGGGUCCUCUGGUUUCUUUAGCUGGGGAGUCUGCAGUGUGGGCGGUGCCCAGCUGAGAAGUCCCCUCUGCCCCAUGUGGCAUCAGCUGAGCCAGCCCAGGCUGGGGCUGAUGAUUCCGUCAAGAUGGUGAAGUGGGAUAGCUGUCAGGCCAGGCCUGGCGCUGUGUCUGUGGCCUUCCCUGCAGGCUGGGUGUCCCUGGGCACGGCCGUGAGUGUCCCAGGAGACCGGCAGUGGCAGGCUGACCUGCAUCUCUUCUGCUGUGGUCUACGGGCCAAACCACUCCAGAACCCAGGCACCAGGGAAGGGGAUGCAGGCCCUCUCUAGAUAGCGGACCAGAUUGGGCUCUCCGUGAGGCAGAGGUGGCCCUCCGUCCUCAGGGUGAGGCCCGAGAAUGGCGGUGGGGUCUCCUCUUGGCAGAGGCCAAUUUCAGACUCAGGAGAAAAAGCCUCGGGAGGCAGAGGUGCUGCACAGUCUCCAGCUCCACUCUUACGGCCUCGUGAGCGUCCUGGUGCCCAGCACCUGGGGUUGACUCUGAGAGGUGAGGACACUGCAGGACCUCACAGAGAAGCCCAGGGGCUCCCCCUGGGCAGCACCCUGUUCUGGGGACUUGGAUGUCCAGGCUUCACGCACCUUGACCCGCCCGGCCUGGACCUGCCACAGGAGGAGCCGUGGACGUGGCCCUGCGUGGAUGUGGCUCAGACUCCUCCAGCAUGGUCUCCACGCGCCUGUGUGUGCAGCCCCGCACCCCUGAAGGGACAGAUGGGGCACAGGACUGCAGCCUCUCAGAAGUGUGGGGAGUGCAUUGGUCAGGGCAUGGGGGAGGUUGUGGGCAGGCCUCCUGGUGGCCGGGAUGAGCAAAGAGCGGGGAGCAGCACCUGAGGGGUGGGGUGUGGGGCUACAGGAUCUUUCUGGGGCUAACAGUGGUUUGUUUGCUUAUUUAUUGAUUUGUUUCUGCAGUGCUGGGGAUGAGCCCAGAGCCUUACACUGAGCUACAUCACCAGCCCUUUCAUUUUUUUUUUCUGAGACAGAGUCUUGCUGACUUGCCCAGGUGGGAUUCGAACUUGUGAUCCUCCUACCUUAGCCUCCCAGAGUGCUGGGAUCACAGCUGUGCUCCACAAGCCCAUCUGACUGUGUUUAAAAUGCCUGGCGAUUUGGAGCAGGAGGAGGUCCUGAGCUUUCCUCUGAAUUGAUUCUCAGGACUACCGAGCACCUCACAAGAGGACCCCCUCUCUCCGGGGAGAGCCCCGCCCCUGUGCUUUGCUUGGGGACCCUCAGGUCCCUUCCUGUUGGAAGUGGUUCCCAUAUUUGACAGGCUUCUGGACAGAGGCAUGGCUGGAGCUCUUGGGUGUGGGGUGACCUGCUUUCCUUCUGGGGAUUGGCUGGCUCAUUUGUCCUGGGAACAGCAGGGCCACCCGCCCCAGGCCCGCCUGUGGUGCUGGCCGAGCAGCUGUGUGCUCUCACCAGUGCCAGACAUGGGAUCAGAGAGGUCACUGGUAGCUGCACAGUGGAAGGCAGCAAAACGCUUCCCAGCCAAGGGACAGAGCAGUCUGCAUGUGGAGCCAGCAGGCGAGUGGAGGGUCACUCAGCAGCUCUGGGCCUGCUGGGCCCUUGGGGUCACCCACACAGUUCCAGAUGUGCUGCUGACUUCUGGCUGCAGCAGGUGGACAGUGUCCAGGGUCUGAGAAACACAUGCUAGAGGACUCCAUUGCACCAGCAGCUUCCUGUAAGCGACAGGUGUUUCCUUCCCCGCAGAACUCAGCCACUGUCCCUUCCCUCAGAGGCCCUUCCUUCAGCCUUCAGAGGUUAGGACUGGAUGUCUUCCGGAGGUUGUUACCCUGCAGCCCACACUCCCUGAGGAGCCUGCCAAAGAGCCUGAUGGCACAGUCACCUACGUGACCCUUCUGGAAGGUCCUGAAGCUGUGAGGCAGUGCCGAGCCCGGGGCUGCCCCUUGUCAGGAGGCCAGGACAGUCAGACACUGGGCCUCUGUUACCGCAGAGGACAGGCCAUGAAGGCCAGACCUCGGAGGACCCGGCUGCUGACGCUUGGUGACCACAGCUGUCUCUGCCACAUGCACCUUGCCGCCUGAACUCGACGCAGUCCAGACGGGAGCUGUUUCCCUGUGCCUGCUUUCAAGUCAGGAGAGUGAGCGGGGUGUGGGGGUGCACCCCUGUGGUGCCAGCACCCUGGGGGGCUGAGGCAGGAAGGAUCACAAGUUCUAGCCUGGCCUGACCAGUUUAGAGACUUAGUGAGACCCUGUCUCAGAAAAUAAAAAUGGAGCUCAUUGUGAAGGCCCUGGGUUCAAUGUCCAGGACCACAGGGAAAAAAGAGGGGGAGAGGGGAGGGAGGAGGAGAGAAAAGCCCCCGAGAGCUCCAGGGCUUGUUUCCUGCCACGUAGCUCCUCAGAACCAGAGCUGGGGGCCCAGCCCACGUCUGAAUGGGAGGCUGGCUGUACCCGCAGGCAGCACUACCUCACACCUGUCGUACCUGGGCAGCCCUGGAGGGAGGCUUUGCCCAGAGAGGUUUAGCCACUUCUCUGGUCCCAGAUGCCUCAUGUGGCCUCCGAGGCCCCAAUCCCAAGAAGUCCUGUCAGGAGCUUUGCUGCCCGUGAUGGCUCAGGUCCCACACUGCAUCUGGUAGCUCCAUCCUGAUGGUGGUUCAUGGGCUCCCAGGCCCUCCCCUCUGGGUCUGCCAGACUCGGCUGUGCUCGGUGGGCUCUGUCUGCUGAGACCCCGUCUCCACCCCUGGACAAACUCACCCAGUGGGCCUUGUGUGCCCCUGCUUGGCAUGGUGAGGGAGGGAGUGACUUCCGGAGCCCGGCUCUCCCCAUGCGCGGCUGGGGUCCCAGCGGCUCCUGUGCCCUCGGGGCUCAGUCUGUGUCCUGAGGGACAGGGGUGUGUGUGGGGGCCUGUGUGGCCUGCACCUGACCCGCCUGCUGCCCCAGCCCUGCCCUGUGCCCACUGCAGGCCCUGUCUGCUUCCCAGGACUCUUGGCUGACCCGCAUUGCCCCAAGGUGGCCUCAGUGCCAGGGCUGGGGCAGGGAGUGCCCAGGAUGGCUCUGUGAUCAGCUGGUGAUGUCUGCCGCAGGCCCGGGCUGGGCUUGUGUGCGAGCCUUGUGGGUCUUCAUCGCUCCCCAGUGACUCCCCGGUGUUUGGCACAGGGUGGCGUGGGUAUCCACUGUUUCCUCUGAGGGGUGUCACGCUGGGGGGUUGGAGAGCCCACCAGAGGGACGGGAAACUUCCUGUCCUCUCUCUUGCUGUUUCCAAGGGAGACCGCCCACUGAGGGCACCGUUUUCAUGUUAACACAACAGACCAGGCCGAACCGGAGCAGGGAAGGUGCUGGCACCCGGAGGAGGCCAAGCCUGGCAUUCCACCUCGGGGAGCAUUCUGUUGCCUCAGCACCUGCCAAGCAAGUGUGUCCUUUCCAGACAUCCCACACUCGGGGAGAUCCCAGCAUGCCAGCCCCACCAACCCUGCCCACUGCUCCCCCAGGUUCCACUUUACUCAUCCAACAGAUUUGUGAAUCCGACCUUUUUAAAAAGGGAAAGAUUUAAAAACUGUGUGCACAGCGCGUCCGCUCUCUUCUGUGUGCCCUGCUCCUGUACGUGCAUAGUUGCCUGGGGGCUUGGGCCACAGCCUGGGGCACAGUGUCCUUCGGAGCUGCUUUCUGGGCAGGGCGCUGUGCCUGGGUAUCAGGCCAGGGCUCCUGGUGCUGCCACAUCGGCAUUUCAAAUGCUGAGACUGGCUGGUGGCCCUGGAGGGUCAGCCCCACCCAAAGGCUCAAAGCGUCCACUGUGCCUUGGUCCAUUAUCUCACAGGCUGUGAAAUAGGCUGACAGAGAUUUUGAAUUAUGAACGUCCAUACAGGGACUUCAUUUACUUCUUUUUUCUUUUGGUACUGGGGACCGAACUCGGGACCUUGCACUUACAAGGGAGGCAGCGGAACCACUGAGCUAAAUCCCUGGUCCGUUUUUUUUUUUUUUUGGUACCUCGUUUACUUCUCAUAGCAACCCUGAGGUUAUUGUCUUGCAGCUUUUCAGAGUAGGUCUGCCAUGGCUUCGCAGCACCACAUGGUCCUGCAUGGGGUUCCAAGGCCACAGGGGCCAAUGGGGCUGCGGUAGCAGGGAUCUGUUCUGAGACCCUGAUUCUCUGUGAACAGUUUUUUUUUUUUGGUACUGGGGAUCGAACUCGGGACCUUGCACUUUUGAGGCAGGGGCCAAAACCACUGAGCUAAAUCCCCGGCACCGUGAACAGUUUUUUUUUAAUGUCAAUUGUAUUUUCUCCUGUAUUUUUGUGGACUCCUAUCAGUCUUAGGUUAUUCUUCUUUGCAUCACCUAGCAGCUGCUGGACUGAUUUCUCAUGGUCCCUUACUAUCUUUAAGAAAUCUCUGUUUUCAUGGUCCUUAACCGCAAUCCUGUCUUCUAUAUCUGAUAUUCUAUCUUCAGAUUCCCUUAAUCUGCUAUGCAUGCUUUCAAUGGAGUUUUUAAUCUCCUGAAUAUCUGUUUGAAUCUAUUUCAUGGAUUCCAUUUCUUUCUUAUGUUGGGCGAUCAUGGUUUAUAUUUCUUUCUUAUGCUGGGCAUUCAUGGCUUUCAGCAUAUUUUUGAGCUCAUCUAUUUUUUUAUCUGUUUCUGUUUUAGAGCCUCUAAUUAUGUCUUUCACUCUGCUCACCAUGUCUGUAGUUAUCUGGGAGAUUAUGUCUGCUUUGAAUUUUUCUAGAGUCUCAUUCAUCUGUUUUGUUACUUCCUGUGCUAUCAGUUCAGCCUGUCCAGGUGGUUGAUUAUCGGACUUUUCCACCCCAUUUCCCCAAAAAUUGCCUUUUGUAGGGUGGAAGCCUGGGUUUGUGACUUGCUUAAAUGUCUUUUUCAUUUUUGUUUCUGGUACUGUCACUUAUAAGCCAAUGAGUCCCAGUAAGCCAGUCACAGACCCCUGAGAUUCAGACAGACUUCUGGCUGCAAGUCCCAAAUUGAGCUCCCCGCCCUCCCACAGGGCUGAACUCUGCAAGGCUCUACUACAGGUUCCAGCUGCCCUUCCCCUGAAGAUAGUCCAGGAUCAAGUGGGAGGUGAUGAUCCCUCCAACUUACCAAGCACGGUGGUCUGGUGUGCCUUUAUUGCAGAGAUUCUUUUCACUUUUCCAGUGGGAUUCAGUUUUCAUCAGGGAGCCUGAGAGAGGCCUCUCUCUGCUGUUCACCUCUGCAACUCAGGACAAUGGCCUUUAUGUCCCCCUGUGCCUCUGUAAUGUGGAACUGGGUAGCUGCACAGCCAAGAGGCCAGAGGCAGCGGUGGUGGUGGGGCUGGCUGUUGUUACAGGUGCCUGUGGGGCCAAGCCAGUGGCCGGUGGGCCUGCGGGGUGGGGUGGGGGUGUCCUCACCGUUUCCUGGAUGCAAGUGGGCUGACGCUGAUUCUCUUUAAUGCUGCACCGGCAUCUCUCCUGCUGGAAGUUUUUGGGAACAAGUCUUUACCUACCUGUUCUUGUUGGAUCACGGGUCAUGGCAGCCUCUGGAUGUGUGUCUCCUACUGGGGCAGUCCCCACUGUCUGCAUGUGUAAAGGAAGGUGCACACAUGCAGGGUGCCAGGUGUGGGAGUGAGUCAGCCACCCAAGCGCUGGCUCAUCUGCCUCCCGGCCCUGGUGCAGGGCUCUGCCCCUCUCUGGCUUUGUCAGCCUGAGGUACAGAGGCUGGUGUCAUCUGAGCCUGCACUGACUGGGGUGUGAGCAGCUCUCCACUCACUCCUGCUGUGAUGUCCCCGGCCCCAGACUCUGCUCCUUCCUCCCCUGUCCCCUGCCUGGAGUAGGAGGAGGCCCUGGGAGUCCAGCGUGCUCUGAGGGCCUUUCUGUCCUGGGCCGGGAGGUGGCACUGAGGUCCUCACCGUGGCACGGGUGAAGUGUGGGAAGCCAACAAGUGUGAAGCACAUCACACUUGAACAGUGGUCCUGCAAAUCAUUGGCUUCUGUGAGCUGGGAGGGCCAUGGCCAACCCUCCUGGGCCCCCGAUUUUAUCAGUCAACAGAACUGGGGCUUGAGAGAUGCAGAUGCACAUCUGUGGGCACUGCUGUCCUCCCCAGAGGGCCUGGCUCUGCAGACCCCUGAGAGAUGGUGUGUGGGGUUAUGGUUUAUAUCUGUGGAAGGCCAUUGGAUUAGGGGCUUAUAGCAGAUUGCUCUUAGGAGGCGGCUCCUGAUGGGAAGGGGCGGGUCACUGUGGGUGUGACCGGAAGUUCACAUCUCCCUUCCCGCUUCUUCCCUGACGCGCUACUUCCUGUUCACCAUGCCUCGAGCCGCUCUCCUCCCCGAGGCUCCUCUGCCCUGCCGUUCUGCCUCAGAGCCUGCCGACCACCAACCGACAGACGAGCAGUAUAAACCUCUCCUCCGGUUGAGUCGGUGUCGAGCACGGUGUCCCAGCGAGGAGAAGGAGGUGAAUGGCUGUAAACUGUGGUCCACCCAGACAGAAGAAUAUUAUUCAGCUCUAAAGAAAAUGAGCUCCAUGCCCUGGAAAGCUUCGAAGGAGCUGUCAUGCAGGUACACACAGCACCUGGAGGGAAGCCUGGUACCAGCUGGGUGCUCUGGCUCUGAGCACUGUGCCAAUACUGACACAGCCAUUGUCACACAAGCUCCGCUGGGUCCCAGUGCACGUGCACACUUACAUCGGGGAUGGAUCUGGGGACACGAGAGCCACACAGGGCUGUUGGGGUUGAGAAUGGCGAGCACCAAUGGGGUGGUGACCACGGCUCCUGCUCCCCAGGGCGGGAACACACCCCGGGAUGCUCUGUGCAUGUCCCCGAAGCAGGUGUCCUUGGCUGGGGACAGCCUGGGGCCUUCCUCGGGUCUCUCCGGGAGCACUUGCAGCCCCAGCUGCUCCCCCUGUGUUUCCAGUUGCACAUUGUUCACAUUCCUCCCCAACCUCGCACUGUCAUUGAGAAAAAAUAAUCACAAAUCUGGUAUUCAAAAUUAAAAAAGAAAUCACAGCCCUC